AACUCACUGAGUUACAAUAACACCAAUGGGAGGAACAUACUCACUUCUUGCCCAGAAACAGACUGAUUGUUUAUACUAGAAAUACAAGGAGGUGACUCCGCCUAUUCGGAAGGAUUCAGCACGAUCUGCAGUCAAACUAAAGAGUCCGAAUCAGUGUAACAGGAGCCGGCACAAAACAAGGUAGGCAAUGUUCCUACACCUGUUACCACUCAUUCUGACAUCUUGGGGAGACAAGCCUGGAUUUAUUCCGUAGUCCCAUGUACCGGCCAGUAGGAGUGUAGGAGUCCUAGGUGACAUUGUCAUUUGUGAGGUUUGUCCUAGAUGACUAUGGCAAAUUAUGUCUAAAAGGGUUUAGCCCCCUUAUAGGUUAGACUAGGCACUAGUGUGUGCCUAGGAAGGUUUAGCAACAUAGGUUAGACUAAGCACUGUGGGCACUAUAUGCUUAGGAGGGUUUAGCCCCCUAAUAGGUUAGACUAGGAGUUGGAGUCCCCUAGGAGGAUCGAGGGGAGUGGCCGUCCCUUAGACAUGUCUGUUUAAUUGUCUAUAUUGUCUGUGUGGUAUAUGGAGAAAUUCACACAUAUGUAUAAUAGUACAAUUUGUUGUAGAAAAGUAGUCCAUGUUGAAAGUCUCUGUCGUGUGGUAAUACCUGAUGUAUUAAUAGCCGGAAUGGGGUGUAGGUGUUUUCUGGCAGUAGUGUCGGUCAAUGAUGAGACAUUGUCAGUAAGUGGUAAUGUGUACAGUGAUCGAAAGUUGCAUGUAAGUUCUGGAGAAGAUCCACAUCCACGGUUGGAAAAGAACAGCAGUCUUAAGAAGUUAUUUGAAAGUGAACAGUGUGUAUUGGCUGUGGCGAUCAAUACGGAGGUUGGUUUGUGCCCUGUUGGGGCGGGUAAUAGAGAACAAUUGUGUAGCAAUAAAAUAAUGUUGGUUGUCAAUACUGGUAACGUGUGUUGUCGGCAACAGUGGUACUUGAGGCGUGACAGUGGUAAUAAGACAUUAGGUCUUCCGUAUUCUCCAUCUCAAGCAUUUGGAUUUGUGGGGACCGCUUGGGCUCAGUGCCUUCCUUGGCUAUCUACCUGACGUUCUUCAGGGGCAGCCCCACUUUAUAUCAGAGAAUGAAGCUCUACAUCGAGGACAUGUGAAAUCACGGCCAUCUCACUCUUUGCGCUGGGCAUGUGCUGCAUUUGACGAGUUGCAGCUGCAUCAGCAAAAGCUAAUGGAAUGGUCCUGUGGUCCUAUGAGUUUGGCCGUGCUGUAUUGGCUGUGGACUACAUGGCGUUUACCCUCCGUCUCACCUACAUCUUCGCCACAAUUAGUAUCCAAAGAAAAGUGUCAAAACUGCACACACAAAAAAAAGUGUUGUAAUUUUACCCGAUUUAAUAUUAUUUUCCCCUCCUGAUUGGCAGACGAAAGACAUGUUAUUUUUCCUCUUCUUCCUGGCGGUGUGGCUCAUGGCCUACGGCGUAGCCAAUUAGGAGCUGCUUUCCUCCUACGACCUUGGUCCUGGUUGGAUAUUUCGCAGUGUUCUACAGGCCAUACCUCCACAUAUUUGGAUAGAUCCCUAUACACAAAAUGUUUGGUGAAUGGACCAACCAGACCCUCAAGACUGCCAUGGGCAAGUCCCUUGAUUGCUACCAGAAAGGGUGGGAGAAAAACCUGAAGGUAAUUCUCUUUGCUCACAACAGCAGCAUCCAGGCCUCCACCGAAUACGGACGGGAACUGCAGCUGUUGACUGAGUUGUUGAACCAGAUCAGAACGCCUUCAAGGACCACCUUCAGGCACGGACUGAGAAGGAUGUGGAGGUUUUUGAUCAGGUUAGACUGAACAUGGACAGGGCGAAGGAGAAACAGAAGGAGAGCUACUGGAGCAGAAUCAAGAAGGGGACCAAGUGCUUCGACAUAUGGGCAAAUUACUUGGUUUGGAAGAAGGACAAAAAGAAGGCGAGACCUGGGAAACCUCGCAGCUCUUUCGCUCCUAGAUGGGGUCACUAUCUGAUAAAGUGAAUAUAAAAAAUCUUGGUGGAAGCCAACAAUCUUCUACAGUUGGAGCAGUUGGAUGGUCGGCCACUGAAAGCACUGACUUCAGUGAAGCCCAAUGCUGAGCAUAUAAAAAUGUACCUCUUCAAUUUACCUCUCCAAAUGACUUUAGGACCAUCGACUGUCCGAGAUUCUCAGGAGGUUUGGCAUCCACCAGAACCAGUGAGUUUGAAUCAGUCUGAUUCUCUGUGCUCUGAGUCGGAGGUGGACCAGCUUGAGGACCUAUGGGUUCUGCCCAACACCCAGACGUGGAUCCACCUGAUGUCCUCCAUUACCAACCACCCUCCAACUUUUCAUUACAUCAUCUACAGUUACUGUUGUUGUCAUUAUCUGCAAAGAAAGUUUUCUUGCUCUAUCACAUAAUAUGUGAGAUACACAGAUGAACUAAAAACACUAGCACUACAAACACUCAGAACAAAUAGAGAAGCAGUGCCUGCUUUUUGCAGACUCCCUCUUCAAGUCCCCCUUCCAAGACUGGCUGCCUGUUGAGAACAAGUGACAGGCAGAACCUCCCAUUCACACAGCAAGCACCUCCUCUUUAUUCCACACACAAGAAUUCAAUAUUAUAGUCUAUGAUUGCCAUGUGAGUGUACAAAAACAAUUAAUGACACAACUGUACUAAAAACUAUCAAAGUUUAUGUAUUUAAAUAUUGCCAGGUUGGUUUUCACAGGUGUGUCACAAGGUGCUCAUUAUUGUAAGUUGUAAGGUAUCAUUUGAUGGUAUUUAUUUGUUCCACAUUAUUCAUUGUUGUAUUUUAGGACCUACAAUAGAUACACUAACUCAGAAAAAAAAGAAACGUCCUCUCACUGUCAACUUCAUUUUGAAUGGCCCUAGCCCUCACCCUCCGAUCCGACAGGUCCCAGAUGUACUCAAUGGGA